GAUGAACGCUGGCGGCGUGCCUAAUACAUGCAAGUCGAGCGAACAGAUGAGGAGCUUGCUCCUCUGACGUUAGCGGCGGACGGGUGAGUAACACGUGGAUAACCUACCUAUAAGACUGGGAUAACUUCGGGAAACCGGAGCUAAUACCGGAUAAUAUAUUGAACCGCAUGGUUCAAUAGUGAAAGACGGUUUUGCUGUCACUUAUAGAUGGAUCCGCGCCGCAUUAGCUAGUUGGUAAGGUAACGGCUUACCAAGGCGACGAUGCGUAGCCAACCUGAGAGGGUGAUCGGCCACACUGGAACUGAGACACGGUCCAGACUCCUACGGGAGGCAGCAGUAGGGAAUCUUCCGCAAUGGGCGAAAGCUUGACGGAGCAACGCCGCGUGAGUGAUGAAGGUCUUCGGAUCGUAAAACUCUGUUAUUAGGGAAGAACAAAUGUGUAAGUAACUAUGCACGUCUUGACGGUACCUAAUCAGAAAGCCACGGCUAACUACGUG
rnacentral:rRNA from 1 species